GAAAGUCCCCUUCGGGGGACGAGUAGAGUGGCGUCCGGGUGAGUAACACGUAGGUAAUCUACCUUCGGGUGGGGAAUAACGCAGGGAAACUUGCGCUAAUACCGCAUAAUGCAGCGGCACCACAUGGUGACAGUUGUUAAAGCGGGGGAUUUUCGGACCUCGCGCCUGAAGAGGAGUCUGCGGCAGAUUAGCUAGUUGGUAGGGUAACGGCUUACCAAGGCGAGGAUCAGUAGCCGACCUGAGAGGGUGACCGGCCACACUGACACUGACAUACGGGUCAGGAUACAUACGGGAGGCAGCAGUGGGAUCUGNCGGAAAACUCGAGC
rnacentral:sRNA from 1 species